GAUGAACGCUAGCGGCAGGCUUAAUACAUGCAAGUCGAGGGGCAGCGCAGUGUAGCAAUACAGAUGCUGGCGACCGGCAAACGGGUGCGGAACACGUACGAAACCUUCCUUUAACUGGAAGAUAGCCCACCGAAAGGUGGAUUAAUACUCCAUACUAUAACUGAAUGGCAUCAUCUAGAUAUUAAAGCUCCGGCGGUUAAAGAUGGGCGUGCGUCUGAUUAGGUAGUUGGCGGGGUAACGGCCCACCAAGCCUACGAUCAGUAGCUGAUGUGAGUGCAUGAUCAGCAACACGGGCACAGAGACACGGGCCCGAGUCCUACGGGAGGGAGCAGUAAGGAAUAUUGGUCAAUGGACGCAAGUCUGAACCAGCCUUGCCGCGUGGAGGAUGAAGGCCCUCUGGGUUGUAAACUUCUUUUCUUUGGGACGAAACCCCUAUUUCUAUGGGGACUGACGGUACCAGAGGAAUAAGCACCGGCUAACUCCGUGCCAGCAGCCGCCGUAAGAC
rnacentral:rRNA from 1 species